UACGGAGGGAGCUAGCGUUGUUCGGAAUUACUGGGCGUAAAGCGCGCGUAGACGGCUUUGCAAGCCGGAUGUGAAAUCCCCGGGCUUAACCUGGGAACUGCAUUCGGGACUGCAUUGCUAGAGUAUGGGAGAGGGAAGUGGAAUUUCAGGUGUAGCGGUGAAAUGCGUAGAUAUCUGAAGGAACAUCAGUGGCGAAAGCGACUUCCUGGACCAAUACUGACGCUCAUGUGCGAAAGCGUGGGGAGCAAACAGG
rnacentral:rRNA from 1 species